CUGGAAUCAUUGUGCGAUGAAUCCAUCCCUACCCAAGGAUACUUGGCUCGUUCAGGAUAUAAACUGAACAGGAAUGUCUCACCGGUACCAAAGUUUUUAUCAUCAGAAGGGUCGGUUCAUGUUGCUCAACUCGCACAUAGAACGUCGUCAAGGAACAUCCAUGUUCUUCGGUCGUGUAUAACAAGAUGGGCUGGUACAUCGUGAUCCUCAUCGGUAGCCAUGACCAUAGGGUAAACAACUGAUAAGUAAACAAAUUCAAAUAAUUAAUUGGACGUAAAAGAUGGUUUUAUAACUGUGCAAACAUUAGUUUCUAAUGGUUCACUAAUAAUUUAAGAGGAGCAAACUAAAUUACGAUAGACAUGCGCUUUACUGAUAAAAUUAAAUUAAAAUAAUUAUAUCAAUUAUUUUAUGGAAAAGUACAGUAAUUGAUAUGUAAAUAUAGAUUGAGCUCUUUAUGUCUUUUUGAAAAAUUCGUUGUUUGUUUGCAUUUCUCCAUAAAAAUACUUUAUAAGAACGAAAAAAAUUAGCUAAUCUUUUUUUUUUUUAAGUAAAGACAUUUUUGUCUUGCAUUCAUUUUUACUGUGUUUUUCCAUAACGAAGCAAAAAAAUAUCGAAAAUUUUCUUAUUAGCAAUCCUUUGUUUUCUAGAUAAUAAUAAUAUAAUUAUUAAUUAAUCAUGAAAGAUAUAAUUAUGAUAUAAAUAUGUGUGCAAUAUAAUUGAAUAGAUAUUUUUGAUCAAGAUAUCAACUAUAUGUUGCAAAAAACAGCUUAACAUUUCUUUUAUAAGAAUUAAUAUUUGUCAUUUCAUUAUUUUUUUAUGCGUAAAUUAUUUAUAAUUAACAAUGUACUAAUAAAUUAAUAUAUACCAAUUCGUAAUUAUUCUAACAUCAUGGAGAAUUACUUUCUCAUAAUCAUCUACAUUUAUAUACACACACACAUAUAUGUAUAUCUACAUAAAAAAAUAUAGAACAAAAAAUUACGACAUUUCCUAUUUGUAAUAUUGCUAACAUUUUAAAAUAAAGAAACAUCAAUUCUAA